CGGGAGCUGGAGGAGGGAGGAGCGGUGAAGCGGGAGGAAAGCGCAUCCGGCCCGGGACGAGGCAGCAGGACCCCAGGGAGCCUCUGCUGUGCCCGAGCCGCGCUACUCCAGGCUGUGAGUGUUACACAAAGGGGUUGGCGAGCCCGAGCCAUUGGCGGCCGCGGGGCACCACGGGGAGCGCGCAGCAAGGGGGCGCUGUGACUCACCCUGCCCCGCAGCCCCGCCCCCGGGCCCGCCCCGGGCCCGCCCCGCUCCCACCGCGCCCUGCACGGACGCCCCACUUCCUUCUCUGCGUUCCCUACCGCCCGCGUCUGCAGCUUUCCCUACCCAGUCUCCACGUCCCCAUUCCUACUCCCAGUUCCUGGGAAGGUGACUAUCCUUCGCAGUGCUGUUCUUGGGGACCCGGAGCCCGCAGAGAAGGCGAACCCUCUGUGCGCUGUGAGUGGACUGCUGUCCCAGUGAACCGGUUGGACUUCAGGGCGUGGAUGGCCAGUACAAGUCGUACCCGCUUCUGUCGCUCACUCCUGCCUCCAGCCCUCACCUCCCUGUGAUAUGUGCCCGAUUGGAGUGUUGCGAGGGCUAAGGUGCCCUGAGGACUCAAAGGAUAAAUGCGUGAACAAUUAUCAGCACACAUGAUAAGGCUAGAAGGGAAACACGUUGGGCUUGCUAGUUGCCGUUAUGGGGAUCUUGUCUUUUAAUAGUGGGAAUCCCAGUAAUGGUCUCAGAGUUGCACAGAUGACCUCGAAUCAUCCUCCCCAUUUCUCUGGUUGGUAAGUGGGAUGAGGAAAUCACCAAUCAUGUUUUCCCGUCUUACCUCUUAAACCCGGAAAUUUACAACUCCGUGCCUCCAGGUGGUUGGAAAAGUUUGGCGUACCUUGGCCGCUGUCCAACAGAUUUAUCGCUGGGGCUCUAUCCUUGUUGGAAAGUCCAAGCAGGAGUGUGUAAUAUUUACCUUCUCAGGAGGAAGCAGCCCCACACACUAGGGCCUAAGGCCCUACAAAAAAGCCUGGAAAUACUUCAUCUCUUCCAGUUGUUUCUGGCACCGGGAGGACACAUAACAUUUUGCCACCCCGCACAACCUUCUAGUGCACAUUGAUUACCAACUGCUCGGCAACUUUCCCACAGCUAUAUUGCUUCCUCUGCAUUUGAGAGCAUCAGUCACAAGCAAGCAGAUCUGGAAGGAAAUCUAUGAAGACAGUGUAAGAAAUGAUCAGAUUAACAUGGUUGGGCAUCUAUACAUGGCUCCUGUUGGUACCUUUUGUUAAGCAUUGCUUUCUACUCCUUACAUCAUUUGUCUCUUAAGCCAGGAUUUUCCUUCUUCCCUUCAUCAUUUUUAUAAAUAGCAAAAACCCAGCUUUCUCUUCAUCUCGAGACUGACAGAGUGAAAAUUGGUGCAGCAAGAGAAAACAAUUAGGAAAAAGAAUUCCUCUCCACUGGAUGCAGAAGAAACUCCAUAUUUACAGCUCCUUCAAGGCACAGAAUAAAAGAUGCUCUCACAGGAUGGAGAUGGCCUUUUAGGAUGAUCUCAGAGCCAGAGAUGAAAGAACAGGCAUCCUCCUGCUUCACUAUGGUAUAUUUUAAUGUGUAGCCUUCAUGUUGCUAAUUCAAAAAUCACACAUUUUUAAGACAGAGAGACUCUUCAGCGCUCACUCAGGCUGACAGGUGGAGUGAAUUCCCACUUCUCCCAUGAAAUCUUGCAGCAUUGAUUAGUGCCUGGACAACUGGAUAUUCACAUGCAAGAAAAUGAAUUUGGACAUGCUACCUCAUGCUAUGGGCAACAUUUAACUCAAAAUGAUCAAAGACCUAAUGUAAGAAGUAAAACUUUUAGAAUACACAGAUUAGCAUGGUUUUCAAAGUAGACAUGGUAUGCUACACAGGUCUUAUGCUUUGUUUUGAAAAGCAAGUGAAGAAGUGUGGUGGAUGCUAUGAUGCGCUGAGAUGUGCUGUCGAACCUCUUCAUCAGUGAAGAACUUUCCCCUGCUGGGAGCACUAUGGGCAGAUGGCUCUCUGCUCUUCAACCAGUCAGUCCUGUACUUCAGUCUGGAAGCCAUCAUGACACUGAGCUACAAUCAAAUAAGGAAUUGAGUUUCUGGAUUUCUCUCUCUAGCACAGUGAUUUUGUUGCUGGCUAUGUUUUGGUCAUGAUUUGUUUUGUCUUUUGGUGGUUGAAUUCUUGCCCUUAGACUCCAAUUUCUUUUAAGAGACUGUGGUGGUGUAGUCAGACCCAAGUAUAUGAUGGUCAUUGUUACAUCCAAAAAUGGCAAAAGAUGUUAGCUGACCCUGUAGGGGAAAAAUAUAUAAAGCUAAACUCUCCACAUAAUGUCUAAUAUUUUUAUAUCAAUGUUACAGCUAAAUGUUAAGUAGGGCAGAAUGACAGAUUACUAGAAUUUGUCGUAUUUUAGUAUUUUUUCUAAGGAAAAUUUUUCAUUGACCUUUGAAGGAGAGGCAUCUUCUCAUUUCAAUAAAAUCCUGAAUGAGUAUAAUUAA